GGACGGAUAGUCAAGCGGUUACGACGCUGGCCUGGAAUUGGUCGAAAUUACCGACCAGGUAGCCAGUGCCCUUACGGGCGCGUGGGUUCAAGUCCCUCUCCGUCCG
rnacentral:tRNA from 1 species